rnacentral:rRNA from 1 species
GUGGGGAAUAUUGCGCAAUGGGGGAAACCCUGACGCAGCCAUGCCGCGUGAGUGAAGAAGGCCCUAGGGUUGUAAAGCUCUUUCAGAUGCGAUGAUGAUGACAGUAGCAUCAAAAGAAGCCCCGGCUAACUUCGUGCCAGCAGCCGCGGUAAUACGAAGGGGGCUAGCGUUGUUCGGAUUUACUGGGCGUAAAGAGCAUGUAGGCGGAUCGAUCAGUCAGGGGUGAAAGCCCGGAGCUCAACUCCGGAACUGCCUUUGAUACUGUCGAUCUUGAGUCCGAGAGGGGGUGGUGGAAUAUCCAGUGUAGAGGUGAAAUUCGUAGAUAUUGGAUGGAACACCAGUGGCGAAGGCGGCCACCUGGCUCGGUACUGACGCUGAGAUGCGAAAGCGUGGGGAGCAAACAGGAUUAGAAACCCUGGUAGUCC